ensembl:misc_RNA Metazoa_SRP Metazoan signal recognition particle RNA
GCUGGGCGUGGUGGCGCAUGCCUGUAAUCCCAGCUACUCAGGAGGCUGAGGUGGGAGAAUUGCUUGAACCUGGGAGGUGGAGGUUGCAGUGAGUCGAGACUGCACCACUGCACUCCAGCCUGGGCAAUAGAGUGAGACUCCAUCUCAA